AUGCUUACCUACAAAUCUUGAUUGAACAAUUAAAGCUUUUUGAUGACAAGCUUCAAAACUGCAAAGAAGAUGAACAGAGAAAGAAAAUUGAGACUCUCAAAGAGACAACAAAUAGCAUGGUAGAAUCAAUUAAACACUGCAUUGUGUUGCUGCAGAUUGCCAAAGACCAGAGUAAUGCGGAGAAGCACGCAGAUGGAAUGAUAUAUCUUCUGUUAUAAGCACUACUUAAUAUA
rnacentral:sRNA from 1 species